rnacentral:rRNA from 1 species
AUACGGAGGGUCCGAGCGUUAUCCGGAAUCAUUGGGUUUAAAGGGUCCGUAGGCGGGAAUCUAAGUCAGUGGUGAAAUCUUGCAGCUCAACUGUAAAAUUGCCAUUGAUACUGGAUUUCCUGAAUUAGUGUGAAGUGGUUAGAAUGUGUAAUGUAGCGGUGAAAUGCAUAGAUAUUACACAGAAUACCAAUUGCGAAGGCAGAUCACUAACACUAUAUUGACGCUAAGGGACGAAAGCGUGGGGAGCGAACAGGAUUAGAAACCCCGGUAGUCC